rnacentral:rRNA from 1 species
AGGACGAACGCUGGCGGCGUGCUUAACACAUGCAAGUCGAGCGGAAAGGCCACUUCGGUGGUACUCGAGCGGCGAACGGGUGAGUAACACGUGAGUAAUCUGCCCCUGGCUUUGGGAUAGCCACCGGAAACGGUGAUUAAUACCGGAUAUGACAUGUUCUCGCAUGAGGGUGUGUGGAAAGUUUUUCGGCCAGGGAUGUGCUCGCGGCCUAUCAGCUUGAUGGUGAGGUAAUGGCUCACCAUGGCUUCGACGGGUAGCCGGCCUGAGAGGGUGACCGGUCACACUGGGACUGAGACACGGCCCAGACUCCUACGGGAGGCAGCAGUGGGGAAUAUUGGACAAUGGGCGGAAGCCUGAUCCAGCAACGCCGCGUGAGGGAUGACGGCCUCGGUGUAAACCUCUUUCAGUACCGACGAAGCGCAAGUGACGGUAGGUACAGAAGAAGCACCGCCAACACGUGCAGCAGCCGCGUAAGUCUGAGCGGCGUGGACG